ACUUAGAGGAGGAAGAAGUCAGCUAAAUUGAAUGCAGAAUUUUUCCAUGCAUGAACUAGGGUUCCUCUCUUUUCUUUUCCCUUUUUUCUUCUUCUUUUCUCUCUUUUUUCCUUGAAUUCGACCACCAGCUGAUGGAGGUCCUUUUAAUGUUGCUCUCCCACCUAACUUCAUGCCAACCAUCCCAUAUUUGUGGAGGAUUUUGUGGGGUUU
rnacentral:lncRNA from 1 species